GUCGAAGGCUAUUAUGAAAAAUACCGUGUUGAGGCCCUUAAGCACGUAUUCCUUAAUGUGGAGUUUCAUAUAGGACCUGCCAAUCAUCGUAC
rnacentral:tRNA from 1 species